GAUGAACGCUGGCGGCGUGCCUAAUACAUGCAAGUCGAGCGAACGGACGAGAAGUUUGCUUCUCUGAUGUUAGCGGCGGACGGGUGAGUAACACGUGGAUAACCUACCUAUAAGACUGGGAUAACUUCGGGAAACCGGAGCUAAUACCGGAUAAUAUUUUGAACCGCAUGGUUCAAAAGAGAAAGACGGUCUUGCUGUCACUUAUAGAUGGAUCCGCGCUGCAUUAGCUAGUUGGUAGGGUAACGGCUUACCAAGGCAAUGAUGCAUAGCCGACCUGAGAGGGGGAUCGCCACCACGGGAACUGGGCCCCGGUCCGAACUCCUACGGGAGGCAGCAGUAGGGAAUCUUGCGCAAUGGGCGAAGGCCUGACGGAGCAACGCCGCGUGAGUGAUGAAGGUCUUCGGAUCGUAAGACUCUGUUAUUGGGGAGGAACAUAUGUGUAAGUAACUGUGCACAUCGUGACGGUACCUAAUCAGAAAGCCACGGCUAACUACGUG
rnacentral:rRNA from 1 species